rnacentral:rRNA from 1 species
GACGAACGCUGGCGGCGUGCUUAACACAUGCAAGUCGAACGGAAAGGCCCUGCUUGCAGGGUUCUCGAGUGGCGAACGGGUGAGUAACACGUGGGUGAUCUGCCCUGCACUUCGGGUUAAGCCUGGGUAACUGGGUCUAAUACCGGCUAGGAGCCAUUUUUAGUGUGAUGGUUGGAAAGUUUUUUCGGUGUAGGAUGAGCUCGCGGCCUAUCGGCUUGUUGGUGGGGUAAUGGCCUACCAAGGCGGCGACGGGUAGCCGGCCUGAGAGGGUGGACGGCCACAUUGGGACAGAGAUACGGCCCAGACUCCUGCGGGGGGCAGCAGUGGGGAAUAUUGCACAAGGGGCGCAAGCCUGAUGCAGCGAAGCCGCGUGGGGGAUGACGGCCUUCGGGUUGUAAACUCCUUACGCUAGGGACGAAGCGUUUUGUGACGGGACCUAGAUAAGAAGAACCGGCUAACUACGUG